rnacentral:lncRNA from 1 species
AAGGGCUAUGAACCUUUCUGGCAUAUCUCAGUGGCGCCACCUAGCGGAUUUUUUAAAACUGCGGCGCACGAUGAAACCUGUGCAAAUCGAUAGGGGACACUUGUCUGAACAAAAAAGCUUUAAUGGACCUAUGCUCUAAAGUGUCACGUUUUCAAGAUAUCUAGCUUGAAAGUUACGAAAAGUGUCGUAUGGAUAAAUCGAUUUUACUAUUUAUCUAUAUACAAUCGUAAUAUAGUGACAAAGUGAUUGAUUAUACAUGAAACAUUAUUUAAUAUACAACAUAUUUAUCUUAUUGAAAAAAUGAAAUUAAUAAAUACUUGCAACAACAUUAAUGGUUUUUGUCUUUGCUACAUUAUAUAGGAAGUACAUAGGUACUUAACUGUGCACACCUUAUCUAAGGUUACUAAUUGCAAACUGAGUUUAUCAGUUUGUGUUAUGUAUGAUAUAGGCGUCAUUUACUCCUUAACUUGAUUUUACUUGACACAACGAUAGGAUCUAAUGAAAUAUAAAAUAAAGUUUACAUUUUUAUAAACGCAAUGCGUUUAGUGCGGCAUCAUUAGUACUCGUUAAAAAGCAGAAUUCUCGAAGUUUAAGAAAUCUGUGUAAGAGAAACAAAAUGGUGUACUUAUUAACUGCCAUUUUGCUUUCUCGUUUAAUUCCAGGAACUACGAAAAUGGAGGUCCUUUGUUUAAAGUUGCACGAAUUUCUAUUAUUUCGGCGGAAUCAACAAGGAUAGCGAAUAGCCAUACAAUAAGUCUAACUACGCAAUACCGAAUAUGCCACAUUUAAAAGAGGAAGUGAGGAUUGCUUGCGCCCUAAUAAAUGCCUUCGGAAAACGGGUGACAGAUCACCCACUCGUAAAUGAAAUAAGCAACGAUAUAUACCUUAAGCACGACGCCCCAAACUAUCUGUGCGAGUUUGUAAUACAAAACAAUUUAAAUCAACGCAGAGCCGCUUUACAAGCUAUGAACUCAAGUGAAGGCUUUCAACAGUUUCCCAUCUUAUCAUAUGAGGAUCUGUUGAUAAUGUCUCUGGGGCCGUAUCAAGUGACGCAGGCAAGAAGCUACUAUGGCGAACACCUAAAAGAAAACGGAACGUUUUUCAUUGAAGUGUAUGAAGAUUUUGAAGUUGACUAUAAUUUAAAUCAAUACAACUUAGUAGUUUGUGAUCCUUGGCUGACAAGAGCUAAAAUACUCUCGAGGCACCAGAGCAACAGAAUUUAUUUUGUAUAUAUCUUGCUAAAUAAUAGUUUGAAAAACAGAAAUAAACUUGUCGGUCACUAUUGCAGCUGUAUAGUUGGAAAACGGACACUCGGGUGCUAUGCUCAUGUCAUGUGCAUAGUUUGGUAUAUGGGAUGGGCUCGGCACCAAGAAAUUCAACCCCCUGCUGCCUUUUUAGAUCAAGUUAUUAUUUCUGAUGAAGAAGAAGAUUGAUUAUUCAAGAAGACUGAUAUUCAUUAUCCUAAUAGGUACGAAUUUGUAUAAAAAAAGCCUAUUUGUUAUAAGUAUAUACACUGUAUGUAUUCAAUAACAAUUAGUAUUGAUUUCAUUUUAAGCAAAAUAUAAAUAACUAUAUGACUACU